rnacentral:lncRNA from 1 species
UGAACUGGUGGUGGAGGGGAUGAGUAUUUGUAUGGCUUCUUUGGUGGUGGUGGAGAGUGGUAGUAGGGCUUAGGGCUGACGUGAUGCACUGGUGGAGGAGGAGAGGAAUAUUUGUAUGGCUUCUUUGGUGGUGGUGGGGAAUGGUAGUAAGGUUUAGGGCUUAACAUGCACUGGUGGUGGAGGAGAAGAAUAUUUGUAUGGUUUCUUUGGGGGUGGUGGAGAAUGGUAGUAAGGUUUAGGGUGGACAUAUGGUGGAGGAGGAGAAGAAUACUUGUAAGGUUUCUUUGGUGGUGGUGGUGGUGAACUGUAAUGGUAGGGAGGAGGAGGUGUAUAAACGGUGGGGGUGGAGAGUGGUAGUAGUAUGGUUUCUUAGGUGGUGAGUACACUGGUGGUGGUGGUGAAGAGUAAUGGUAAGGUGGUUUAACUGGAGGGUACACCCCCGGUGGUGGGGAAUGUGGAGGGUACACCUUAGGUGGUGGUGGAGAACUAUAAUGGUAAGGUGGUGAGACUGGUGGAUACACCUCAGGUGGUGGUGAAUGUGGAGGGUAUUUCUUAGGUGGUGGUGGGGAAGAGUAAUGGUAAGGUGGUUUAACUGGUGGGUACACCUUGGGUGGUGGUGAAUGUGGAGGGUACACCUUAGGAGGUGGUGGUGAAGAGUAAUGGUAAGGUGGUGAAACUGGAGGAUACACCUUAGGUGGUGGUGAAUGAGGAGGAUACUUCUUAGGUGGUGGUGGUGAAGAGUAAUGGUAAGGUGGUGAAACUGGAGGGUACACCUUAGGUGGUGGUGAAUGUGGAGGGUACACCUUAGGUGGUGGUGGUGAAGGGUAGUG